rnacentral:rRNA from 1 species
ACAGCAGUAGCCGCGGUAAUCCGGAGGGGGCUAGCGUUGUUCGGAAUUACUGGGCGUAAAGCGCACGUAGGCGGCUUUGCAAGUCAGAGGUGAAAGCCCGGGGCUCAACUCCGGAAUAGCCUUUGAGACUGCAUCGCUUGAACACGGGAGAGGUGAGUGGAAUUCCGAGUGUAGAGGUGGAAUUCGUAGAUAUUCGGAAGAACACCAGUGGCGAAGGCGGCUCACUGGACCGUUGUUGACGCUGAGGAGCGAAAGCGUGGGGAGCAAACAGGAUUAGAGACCCCUGUAGUCCCUGUCUCUUAUAC